rnacentral:rRNA from 1 species
AUUGAACGCUGGCGGCAUGCCUUACACAUGCAAGUCGAACGGCAGCACGGGUGCUUGCACCUGGUGGCGAGUGGCGAACGGGUGAGUAAUACAUCGGAACGUACCUUAUCGUGGGGGAUAACGCAGCGAAAGUUGCGCUAAUACCGCAUACGCCCUGAGGAGGAAAGCGGGGGACCGUAAGGCCUCGCGCAAUUAGAGCGGCCGAUACCUGAUUAGCUAGUUGGUGAGGUAAAGGCUCACCAAGGCAACGAUCAGUAGCUGGUCUGAGAGGACGAUCAGCCAAACUGGGACUGAGACACGGCCCAGACUUCUACGGGAGGCAGCAGUGGGGAAUUUUGGACAAUGGGGGCAACCCUGAUCCAGCAAUGCCGCGUGAGUGAAGAAGGCCUUCGGGUUGUAAAGCUCUUUUGUCAGGGAAGAAACAGCAGCUCUAACACAGUUUGCGAAUGACGGUACCUGAAGAAUAAGCACCGGCUAACUACGUGCCAGCAGCCGCCGUAA